rnacentral:misc_RNA from 1 species
GAUGAAGAACGUAGCGAAAUGCGAUACGUAAUGUGAAUUGCAAAUUCAGUGAAUCAUCGAGUCUUUGAACGCACAUUGCGCCCCCUGGUAUUCCGGGGGGCAUGCCUGUCCGAGCGUCAUUGCUGCCCUCAAGCACGGCUUGUGUGUUGGGCCCCGUCCUCCGAUCCCGGGGGACGGGCCCGAAAGGCAGCGGCGGCACCGCGUCCGGUCCUCGAGCGUAUGGGGCUUUGUCACCCGCUCUGUAGGCCCGGCCGGCGCUUGCCGAUCAACCCAAAUUUUUAUCCAGGUUGACCUCGGAUCAGGUAGGGAUACCCGCUGAACUUAAGCAUAUCAAUAAGCUGAGGA